UUAGGAUAGGUUUACUCUCUGGGUUAGGGUAGGUUUACUCUCUGGGUUAGGGUAGGUUUACUCUCUGGGUUAGGGUGGUUUACUCUCUGGGUUAGGAUAGGUUUACUGUCUGGGUUAGGGCAGGUUUACUAUCUGGGUUAGGGUAGGUUUACUCUCUGGGUUAGUGUAGGUUUACUCUCUGGGUUAGGGUAGGUUUACUCUCUGGGUUAGUGUAGGUUUACUAUCUGGGUUAGGGUAGGUUACUCUGGGUUAGGGCAGGUUU